UUUGAUACCACCAUGACAUUAAGAAAGUAGUAGUAAAGGACUAAUUACAGUGCAGAAAUGUUGAGAAGAGCAGAUAUUCUACGGGAUUAUCAAACUAACUUGACGAGCUCCUGUAAAUAACUGAGGUUGCAGCCGGUAGCUAAUUGCUUUGUAGAUGUCGGAAACAGCGAGAGGCAGUGUGCAGACGGGAGGUGAAAUACAACUAAAGAUCUUCCUUAAAAUGAAACGUCAGAAAACACAAAGAGGCAUAUCACAAGAAUGGGAUCGUCGCGCGCAUGCGCACUCGGCAGCAGGAUGAUUUGGAGAAUGUCGCAUGGCCACAAGUUGACGACGCAGGACAACCUCUGGCGACCUCUUCUGGACAACAGUAGUACAACAACACGACCGCUUUCUAACCCUGUUUUACUUGAUGUUCGCCAGAAAAACAUUAAACACCAGUAAA